AUUUAAAUAGCUUAAGAUAAAGGAAGAGUUUAAUAUUGAAGAUAUUAAGGUAACAGAAAUGUUUUUAAAUA
rnacentral:tRNA from 1 species